AGAGUUUGAUUCUGGCUCAGAUUGAACGCUGGCGGCGUGCUUAACACAUGCAAGUCGAACGUGAAAGUCCUUCGGGGCGAGUAAAGUGGCGCACGGGUGAGUAACGCGUGGAUAAUCUACCCUUAAGAUGGGGAUAACGGCUGGAAACGGUCGCUAAUACCGAAUACGCUCCCGAUUUUAUCGUUGGGGGGAAAGAUGGCCUCUGCUUGCAAGCUAUCGCUUAAGGAUGAGUCCGCGUCCCAUUAGCUAGUUGGCGGGGUAACGGCCCACCAAGGCGACGAUGGGUAGCCGGUCUGAGAGGAUGACCGGCCACACUGGAACUGGAACACGGUCCAGACUCCUACGGGAGGCAGCAGUGGGGAAUAUUGCGCAAUGGGCGAAAGCCUGACGCAGCGACGCCGCGUGAGGGAUGAAGGUUCUCGGAUCGUAAACCUCUGUCAGGGGGGAAGAAACCCCCUCGUGUGAAUAAUGCGAGGGCUUGACGGUACCCCCAAAGGAAGCACCGGCUAACUCCGUGCCAGCAGCCGCGGUAAUACGGAGGGUGCAAGCGUUAAUCGGAAUCACUGGGCGUAAAGCGCACGUAGGCGGCUUGGUAAGUCAGGGGUGAAAUCCCACAGCCCAACUGUGGAACUGCCUUUGAUACUGCCAGGCUUGAGUACCGGAGAGGGUGGCGGAAUUCCAGGUGUAGGAGUGAAAUCCGUAGAUAUCUGGAGGAACACCGGUGGCGAAGGCGGCCACCUGGACGGUAACUGACGCUGAGGUGCGAAAGCGUGGGUAGCAAACAGGAUUAGAUACCCUGGUAGUCCACGCU
rnacentral:rRNA from 1 species